rnacentral:pre_miRNA from 1 species
UCAACCCAAUAAAACCACUAACUCAUUAAUAUAAAUGGGUUAUGGUUUAACCCAAUCCAUUUAGUUAAUGGGUUGGAUUAACUCAUGAUCCAUAAACUGCUCAAUCUAUUUGGGUUUGGAU